rnacentral:lncRNA from 1 species
GCAGCUUUGCAGGCGCUGGGGCUCCCAAAGGACGGAGCUUUGAAUCCACCUGGGAGGCUUAAGAGAAAGUGCUGAGUCCCCCAUGCCCUACCCCUGAGACUGCUGACAGGCAUCGCUGAGGGCUGCAGCUUUGGAAUCGGGCAUCUUCUGAGGAAGAGAAAGGCACCACAGCCACGGCACAGAAGACUAGUUCUAGGUGCAAUGUUUUAAGGGGAAGACUUACACUAUGAAGCUAGCCCAGAAGAGGGUGACUAGAGUACUGAGGAGUUUCUACCUGGAAGGGCUGUAAGACAACUGCUAUGUUGUGAGCGGCUCUAUGGAGAGGCCCAUGUGGAGGGAAGUGAGGAAGGCCUCUGGCCAACAGUCCAGGAGGAAGUGAAGCCCUCAGUCCAACAGCCUGUGUGGAACUGAACCCUGCAAACAACUCUGUGUGUGAGCUUGGAAGUGGAUCCAUAUUCAGUCAAACCUUGAGAUGGGACACCAUGCUCUGCUAACACUUGAUUGUGGUCCCAGCUAGGCCACUGCUGAAGUCUUGACUCAGAGAAACGAUGAUAUAGUAAAUGUUUGUUGUUUCAAGUUGGUAAGUUUUGGGAUAAUUUUUUAUAUAGUGAUAAUUUUUUAUAUACUUUAAAAUAACACAUUGCCCUAUCCUUUGGUUACACUUUUCUCUUGGAACUCUGCUUGCCCAUAUAUUACAGAAAUAUUUUUCAGAUCAUGGGCUGAAAGGUGGAUUAUGGAUGCAAUGUUUAAAUUUAGCAAUGUCAUUUAUGACUGUUCAUAUGAGCUUUGCUGCAUAAAAUGUUGAUAUUAAUUUGUUUCCCUUUAAGACAUUCUUAAUGUUUACCUCUCAGUAUUUUCUUUGUAAUCAAUUAAUGUAAGAUGAAUAUAGUUUGUAGGUUUUACCUUUCUUGAUUCGUAUACAAAACACACAACAUCCAACCAUUGUUAUUUAAAGAUUAUCUAGGAGGAGAUGAUGGAAACUCUGUUUUGGGCCACCUUCUUUACACAUUGGGUCUAUUUCCCCUAACUUGAGUAUAUAUUAAACUAGUGGGGGAUUGAGCUACAAAAAUGCUACUUGGUGAGAAUUUUAUUAAUACAAAUACUCAACUCUGAAGUUACGUUUUUGUGGAAAGUUAUCACUUUGGAAUUUGAAUUUUCUUGGAGCUAAGCCACUGGUAGUUGUAAAAGCUACACCUGUAAAUUUGCUCCCUAGAAGAUACUUUCGUUUAGUGACCACUUGUUUCUCUGUGGAUAAAUUCAAUUAUAAAUUACAA